rnacentral:rRNA from 1 species
UGGGGAAUAUUGGACAAUGGGCGCAAGCCUGAUCCAGCCAUGCCGCGUGAGUGAUGAAGGCCCUAGGGUUGUAAAGCUCUUUCACCGGUGAAGAUAAUGACGGUAACCGGAGAAGAAGCCCCGGCUAACUUCGUGCCAGCAGCCGCGGUAAUACGAAGGGGGCUAGCGUUGUUCGGAUUUACUGGGCGUAAAGCGCACGUAGGCGGACUAUUAAGUCAGGGGUGAAAUCCCGGGUCUCAACCCCUGAACUGCCUUUGAUACUGGUAGUCGUGAGUUCGAGAGAGGUGAGUGGAAUUCCGAGUGUAGAGGUGAAAUUCGUAGAUAUUCGGAGGAACACCAGUGGCGAAGGCGGCUCACUGGCUCGAUACUGACGCUGAGGUGCGAAAGCGUGGGGAGCAAACAGG